ACAUGCAAGUCGAAGGUGAAGCGGGACUUCGGUCCUGUGGAAACUGGCGCACGGGUGAGUAACGCGUGGGAAACUACCUAGUGGUUCGGAAUAACCGCGGGAAACUGCGGCUAAUACCGAAUAAGCCCCGAGGGGGAAAGAUUUAUCGCCAUUAGAUGUGCCCGCGUCGGAUUAGUUUGUUGGUGAGGUAACGGCUCACCAAGGCGACGAUCCGUAGCUGGUCUGAGAGGAUGAUCAGCCACACUGGGACUGAGACACGGCCCAGACUCCUACGGGAGGCAGCAGUGGGGAAUAUUGGACAAUGGGCGCAAGCCUGAUCCAGCCAUGCCGCGUGAGUGAAGAAGGCCCUAGGGUUGUAAAGCUCUUUCACCGGGGAAGAUAAUGACGGUACCCGGAGAAGAAGCCCCGGCUAACUCCGUGCCAGCAGCCGCGGUAAUACGGAGGGGGCUAGCCGUUGUUCGGAAUUACUGGGCGUAAA
rnacentral:rRNA from 2 species